AAUUCUCUGUAAAUAUGUACACUAUUUCGAUGGCUGCGAACAGUCCAUUACAUUUCAUAGUUUACAGUGUAAAAGAAGUAAACAAUAUGAAAAGUUUACAGACAGACAGAUGGAGAAACAUAGGGCAGACAGACAGACAGAUGGCUAAACGACGAAAAAAGGUGAUCAGAAAUCCCCACUUAAGUGAGCUUGAGGCGACUUAAGAUCCUUUGCUACAAUUACUUGAUAUAUAAUCAAAGGCCGGAACAGCCACAAAGGCGUCGAGCUGACAUUUUC